UACGUAGGGUCCAAGCGUUAUCCGGAAUUACUGGGCGUAAAGCGUACGCAGACGGUACGUUAGGUGGGAUGCGAAAUCUUGUGGCUCAACCACAUAGACUGUGUCCCAAACCAUCGAACUAGAGGUUGGUAGAGGCAAGCGGAAUUCCUGGUGUAGCGGUGAAAUGCGCAGAUAUCAGGAGGAACACCGAUGGCGAAGGCAGGUCUCUGGGCAUUAACUGACGCUGAGGAGCGAAAGCAUGGGGAGCGAACAGG
rnacentral:rRNA from 1 species